CUGCGUUUCGCCGAGCGGGACGACCUGCGGGGCUACCACCCCGACGUCCGGGUGUUCGAGGUGUCCGACGCCGAC
rnacentral:tRNA from 1 species